rnacentral:rRNA from 1 species
GACGAACGCUGGCGGCGUGCUUAACACAUGCAAGUCGAACGGAAAGGCCCUGCUUUUGUGGGGUGCUCGAGUGGCGAACGGAUGAGUAACACGUGAGUAACCUGCCCUUGACUUUGGGAUAACUUCAGGAAACUGGGGCUAAUACCGGAUAGGAGCUCCUGCUGCAUGGUGGGGGUUGGAAAGUUUCGGCGGUUGGGGAUGGACUCGCGGCUUAUCAGCUUGUUGGUGGGGUAGUGGCUUACCAAGGCUUUGACGGGUAGCCGGCCUGAGAGGGUGACCGGCCACAUUGGGACUGAGAUACGGCCCAGACUCCUACGGGAGGCAGCAGUGGGGAAUAGUGCACAAUGGGCUGAAGCCUGAUGCAGCAACGCCGCGUGCGGGAUGACGGCCUUCGGGUUGUAAACCGCUUUCGCCUGUGACGAAGCGUGAGUGACGGUAAUGGGUAAAGAAGCACCGGCUAACUACGUG